GUGGGGAAUAUUGCACAAUGGGCGAAAGCCUGAUGCAGCAACGCCGCGUGAGGGACGACGGCCUUCGGGUUGUAAACCUCUUUUAGUAGGGAAGAAGCGAAAGUGACGGUACCUGCAGAAAAAGCACCGGCUAACUACGUGCCAGCAUCCGCGGUAAUACGUAGGGUGCAAGCGUUAUCCGGAAUUAUUGGGCGUAAAGAGCUCGUAGGCGGUCUGUCGCGUCUGCUGUGAAAACUGGAGGCUCAACCUCCAGCCUGCAGUGGGUACGGGCAGACUAGAGUGCGGUAGGGGAGAUUGGAAUUCCUGGUGUAGCGGUGGAAUGCGCAGAUAUCAGGAGGAACACCGAUGGCGAAGGCAGAUCUCUGGGCCGUAACUGACGCUGAGGAGCGAAAGCGUGGGGAGCGAACAGGAUUAGAAACCCUGGUAGUCC
rnacentral:rRNA from 1 species